AACUGCAAGCCCUGGCUCGCUUGCAGAUCGCGUCCAUCGCCUUACAAGGGUGCACGCCUCACAAGAGGAUGUGCAAGAGUCGUCGUGAUGGUGGCACUGUUUGGGUGCCGGGGGGAAACCAAAACGGGCUUUACGUUACCUGCAGGGCAGGUAAGAAAGGCAUCGCCUCUGUCCCUCGGAGUAUCUUCGAGGAAGCAGAGCCUAAAGGGGGAGAAGGCUGCAUGGUUUCGUGGAAGGGGAAGGCGGGGGUUUCCCCGGCUGCGGGGAAUGCCUGUGUCCCGGGCUCAGCUCUGGGACUCCCGCUGGAGGGAAUCCAGCUUCUGUGGGAAGCUGCUAUAGCAAACACAGCGAACGCUCGCUAAAGAGCGAGGCGAACAGAGAGACCUUCAGCUCUGCUCUGGAGUUUGUCCCAGCACCGCUAAGGAGACAAGGUGAGCCGGGGAGGUGUCUGUCAUCCCCACCCAAGCUGCUGGCUCUGGGAGCGCUCCCGAAGGGCAGGGUGCCUCCGGGCUCUGCCGUCGGGGACCGGCACUGCCCCGCAGGCUGCAGGCGCGCUGCCGAAGCAAAGCAAGGUCUCGGCCAGCUCUCCAACCUGGCGCCCCUCAGCUGACAUGAACGAGGAUGGCUCACGGAUAUGGCCAGGUCUGACAAAACAAGGUGUCUGCCCCACUCAGCCCCCCAGGAGCUGCCUUCCCCCAAGCCCCCCCGCACUGCAACAAGUGCUCUUGGCCUCAGCCCCUGGGCAGCAGCGUUACAGAGCCAUGUCCAGACCAAGGCAUUUCCAGAGCGUGCAUAAAGCCAACGGGAGGCCCAAAGCAGGACUCUGCUUCCUUCUAAAUAGCUGACAAACGGAGACACCACCAGCCCCCUGUCACGCGCUGAGCCGUGGACUGCCUUCCCGACACUUCUGCUGGGACUUGGAGUCUGGGAACUGGUCCAGGGGUUCACAAAGGGCCCUGGACCGUCACUAGGGCUGCACAGUUGCCAUGCUCACAUCAUGUGUCCAGUAACCCUCUUUAAAGUAGAAGAUAAUUAUAUUUCUCUAAUGAGACAGCAUGCUUUACUGGCUCAAACAGAAGACCGGGAGACAAGACGCCUGGCUUCCUUUUCAGGAUCAACCAAAAUGAGUCAUUUUCCCUGCUUUCUCCCAGCUUGAAAAUGAUUUUUUCUGUAUUUGUUUAUUUAAAGUCUGUUCUUUUUUUUGAAUUAGAGAAGAAUAAGUGUAGUUUUACUGAAGAAAAAAAAUCUCAUUUUAAAUAGUCCAUCCUGGAUUCUGUUAACUUGAAAGCAAGAAGAAAAAUGAUUGUUAUUGGGUAACUUUGUUACUAGCUGUUUCUCCUACACUGUUCAAAAAAUCAGCUAACUGUAAGGUGUUAUUUUUGGAUGGAGUUACCAUAUGUAGAAAAAGUCUGAGCUCAGAAAAUUGAAACUUGGUCUUUCAUAUGGCACGGCUUUACUGGGUUUAAAGCAGCACUUUGCAGCCCUGGCACUCACAGAUGGCUGUCUCAGUCCACAGGCAGGCAUCACAGGGGCGAUACGCUUGGAAAUGGCAUGGAAACGCUUUUUACUGCAGGCACCAGGACAGCAGUCAGGAUGAACUCACAGGAUUAAAAGUCACGUAGGACCCUUUCUUUCUUUACAAGGCAUUUAGACAGCUAAUGCCCUUUUGAAAUCCCAGAGGCAACCCCGUCACGUGGAAAUCUGGCACCCAGUCAGACCACUAAGCCUCUGUUUUCAGUUCAGACCACCACAUGCAAGGGGAGAGGAGGAUUAUUGGGAGAUUUAUCCUGGACCUCUAGCUCUAACGCAGCAAAACCUGACCACAAGAGGUGCAAAACCACAGCCGCUCCUGGCAGCCAGAGGUAGUCUGCUGUGAAAUCCAGGGCAAAGCGGUGCCCUAAAGACUUUCUUCAGGAGGCUGGAGCAGGGCUCUGCCCCGCGGCAAUGUCCCAGCCCGUCCUAGAGACCUGCUGCCCCAAGGCUACCCUCAACAAUUCAUUUUGAUUUUUCCUCCACCUGCAGCCCAGCAGAGAGAAGCAGAUGCUGCAAAUAUGCAGGAUUUCCAAGGAAAUCUGAUUUCGCUUGAGUUCACCGCUUCUCUUGUCUGGCUCACUGCUUGUCUAUUCAGUGGCCAACAGCAGUUGACUUAUACACAGUAUAAUACACUUUCUCAGUUUCCUAUCUGUACCAGCAACAGCCGUAGUAGGAGGUUCAAAUAACUGUUUUUACAAGAACCACUUUCCGCAGAGCCCUUUGAAGGUCACGCUGAUUAUUUCCUCCAGAGCAAGCAAAGCACCAUGUAAUUACUGCAAAUGUCACCUGGUGAAAAAUCACUUCUAGUCAAUCAUCUCAGUCUGGAGAUAACUGCUGCAGCUCUUAGCUACCACAACAAGUCAAACAGAAGUGAUGAGGGGUCUGGCCUCUCUCCCAUCAAGACUGUAUAUUCCUCCAAACAUUGUAAAAUUGGUUAAAUAACGUUCAUGAGAGCCCAGCUCUGAAACCCCCUGCUCGGACGUGCUCUGCAUGCCAGUGGUUUAUGUGGGAGCACAGAGCACCGGUCCUGCUCUAUAUCGUUUCCACGCUAGGCAAAUCAGGUUGUGGUUUUUUAAUGUGAGGUGCUUUAACACUCUGUAGCCUUGCUGUAGACUUUGUACACGCUUGUAGACUUUGUACACCUCUGAGCAACUGCAGCACCUGCAGCUCAGUGGCGACACCCAAAACUCACCUCCGCCGGAGGGCAAAGCAGCCGAAACGCGGCUCUCCCUGCUCCCCGGCCGCAGCACGCUCGCGGUGCCCCACCGCCGGCGUCACCACCUCGCUGAAGGUCCCGCGCUCCGCCAGCUUCCCGGUGCCUUGGGGCCCGGCUCAGGACGGGCUGCUGAAGAUACCGUCGUGUUCAGCCAGCGCGGGGUGGGACCCCACGUCCUGGGGUCACUGUGCAAAACUUCUUCACGUUAUCACAACCCUGCCUAUGCCAUCAGAAGCAGAGUCGCUUCCCAUACCUCUGUGUUAACCUUCUAGUGAAGACAGCUCUGCAGCUCUGCUAUUGCUGGCCAUCCUCCUGGGAAAGGGAGGUUCACAAAGACAUGAUUGCCAGGGUGGGUACAUGACCCUGGCCCCUGCGCACCCCAUGCAAGCUGCUGGGCUGAAGGUGAGCCUGCCUGUCGGCAGCCGCAGAGCACAUCUGGAGGUGCCUGCGGGAACUCCCCACUUCCAGCUAUCGACCCUCAUAGGCAGGAAGAAAGACUCUUUGGUUUUCUUCUCAUUAAAUUUGGGGGCUGAAGGGACGGCUGAAAACUUCAUAUUCCUCCCUGCUUAUGUCUGAAGAGUGAAAAAAACCUCAUAAACUUCUUUCCUCCACAGAAGAAGGGAAGGCUGGAAAGCUGCUGACCCCAGCCACCAGUCCUGAGAGGGUUUAGGGUCACCAUAUGUUCCUAAGACAUAUGGAAAAGCAUUGAUAGAUAGCUCUGGAGUGACUUCCCCAUCCGUGGGGGAAAAGCCUGAGGAUUCCCAAAAUGUUCCUGCCUGGCAUGAGGGAUGUGGAGGGGAGAAGAGCUGAGCUGCAAGUUGUGGUUGUCCGCUUACUAGGAAGGGGCAAGGUCCCGGAGGGCACAGUGGGAAGAUGCACACUACCCUUCCUGCAAGAGCUGGAGCAGGGAAGGGAACCGGCUCUGUGAGCCCGGCUGCAGCAUGGUGGGUGCCACCAGGGCACACGCACACUAUUUUUAGAUCAAAGGAAACCAGAGAGCUGACGAUUAUCAGAUUGAAGGCUCCGUCAUCACCCCUGUGCUCUGCACCUUCAACACAACAAUACACUAGACUGCUUGAAAUUAUGAGAAUUUAACAGGGUCCUUGAGGAUUUCAACAUUUGUCUGUAAAGUAUUUGGCAAGUCAUGAACCAGCAACAUAAUUCUCUUAAUGUGUCCCAGAGCACUGAUGAGAUACAUCCUUAGCAUCUUUUCUUAUUUUUGAGGCAUCAUCCAGUACUUGGUCACAUCAACCUCUACUAUAUUUCCAAUUUCUGCUUAAAUAAAAAGACUACUAUUUCAGCUGAUUUGUUUUCUUUAGGAUGCAGUUUUUCCAAAAUGAUAUUCUGAUACUGAUCUUCCUGCUGAAAUGGGGUUGCUGUGCAUGCUAAGUUGCCCAAAACAAAAUAGUGCCUAACUGAUAAAUUACAUGUUUUCAAAUAAAUGUCUCAACAAUACCUAA